UACUUGAUAAACAAUAUAAUCAUUGUGUUUGUUAGAAGAAAAUCACGAAUUGUGAAAUGCGUGUUUAAAAGCAGUUAUUUCGUUAUUUUCUCUCAGAUAAGUAUUUUUAAAAACUUCCUUCGUGCACGACAGAAAGAACCGUUAAUUUGUAACAUUUAUUUGAAAACACUUAUUUCUUUUAUUUCGUUAAAAUUUUGAGCACCAAAAGUAGACAGAAUGGUAGAUCCAAUUGUAGAUUUUUCAGAGAAAAUCAAGACCCAAAGAUGGUUGGAUUAUUAUCUUCCAAAGAGAUAUAUUUUUGUUUUUCUCGCACUUGUGGGUACUAUUUGUAUGUACGCUAUUAGAGCCAGUAUCAGCGUGACCAUUGUCGCGAUGGUCAAGCAGACAGUGGUAUUACC